GACGGGUGAGUAACACGUGGAUAACCUACCUAUAAGACUGGGAUAACUUCGGGAAACCGGAGCUAAUACCGGAUAAUAUAUUGAACCGCAUGGUUCAAUAGUGAAAGACGGUUUUGCUGUCACUUAUAGAUGGAUCCGCGCCGCAUUAGCUAGUUGGUAAGGUAACGGCUUACCAAGGCAACGAUACGUAGCCGACCUGAGAGGGUGAUCGGCCACACUGGAACUGAGACACGGUCCAG
rnacentral:rRNA from 1 species